ACUAUCUAUCUAUCAGACCAGAGGAUGUCGCCCCCUGCUGGCAGUACUAAGAAUGCAGGUUUAAAAGGCUUCAGCAUCCAGGCUGUAACAUCUGAUGAAGUGGUUUUAAUUUAAAAAAGAAAAAUGAAAAGAAACAUAACUCCAGCCGUCCAUUUUUCCACUGCUUACUGGGUUCAGGUUGCAGGGCAGGACUCUGAGCAGAGGAGCCAAUGGAGUCAGUCCUCCUGUGGGGCUCCACCCAUGGCCCAACUGUAGGUGGCUGAGAGAUAACAGCUAGAUACAGCUGGGCAAUGGAACCAAUUUCCUGCAGUCGCCCUGGGCACGAGGCGGGGGGCUGGUGUUCCUGUAUCCCCUCAGUCCAUGAGAGAGUUGCUUCCCUGCAGCUCUGGGUCAGGGUCCUGACUGCUAUUUACCAAAUGCAGUUCAGAUUACCUACGUGGUGUCACCUGGUGGGGUGGGACUCCAUCGUUCUGCUGGGAGACUUCAACGCUCAGGCACUGGGAGACUGGGGACACGAGUCCGGGUGCACCUCCACUCCUGGAAGGAGCUGCAGCUCACGGUGGUUUUAACCCCAGAACCAUAAUGACAUCAUCAAAGAGAGACCAGCUUACACGAUCCUGCUGACUCUGACUGUGGAUCACUUCACUGGCACAAUUCACAUAAACUUAUUAAAGCAAACUAAACACACUUCAUUUCGUAUUAUAGGAGAUAAAUUCAGGUUGUAGGUUUUACUAUGAGCUCUGUGCUGAAAGGGCGCCAGAGGACGUCUGCCGAUGGUCCUUUAAUACACCUGAUAUAUACAUGACAUGCACGACUGACAAAUGCAGCUGUGUCACAGCAGAGUCAUGGAGACUGAACUUUAAAUUACAAAUCAAACAAGCAUUCAUAAUUUUUAUCAUCAGGUCAACAAGUGCAGAGAACUCAAGUCUGUCACCUUCAGAAGCAAAAUUAAUAAAAUGCAAAUAUUUAUAUUUAAAGUAAAGACAUUUAUUUUAAACCACAUCGCAGAGCCGUCCAUCAGGUUCGUACGGAGCUCUGAAGGCUGCUUCCUGUCAGAGAGCAGUUUGUUGGUUCGUCA
ensembl:lncRNA